CAUUCUCUCCUCUUCAUUUCCCCCCAAACGGCACGUCUAGAGAGCCCCCAGGCUGCUCGAAUUUUGCCUCGCAUGUCCGCAGCACUGCCGCACUAGUUCGUCGAAUUCGCGACGACGCUAUAUUUCGACGGUAGUCUCCGGCGAGCGAUUUCCGGCGAACUACUGCAGCUCGACGUCCGCGACUUCAUAAACGAGUUUCCCUUGUCAAUCCGAGCUCCACCGUCUGCCCCACCAUCGCCAAGGAGCACCGGAACGUCAAGGCCGGCGACAUCAGACGACAUUGCUGUGUGCGUCCCGUAUAUUGUGACUGUGAUAGCUGCAACGUGUGCGAUUGUGAAGAUUGUACCAACUCGUCCUCUCACCAAG